GUUGACCUCGGAUCGGGUAGGGAU
rnacentral:rRNA from 1 species